rnacentral:rRNA from 1 species
UUAGUGGCAGACGGGUGAGUAAUGCAUAGGAAUCUACCUAGUAGUAUGGGAUAGCCACUAGAAAUGGUGGGUAAUACUGUAUAACCCCUGCGGGGGAAAGAUUUAUCGCUAUUAGAUGAGCCUAUGUUAGAUUAGCUAGUUGGUAGGGUAAAGGCCUACCAAGGCGAUGAUCUAUAGCUGGUCUGAGAGGAUGAUCAGCCACACUGGAACUGAGAUACGGUCCAGACUCCUACGGGAGGCAGCAGUGGGGAAUAUUGGACAAUGGGCGCAAGCCUGAUCCAGCUAUGCCGCAUGAGUGAGGAAGGCCUUAGGGUUGUAAAACUCUUUCAGUAGGGAAGAUAAUGACGGUACCUACAGAAGAAGUCCCGGCAAACUCCGUGCCAGCAGCCGCGGUAAUACGGAGGGGGCAAGCGUUGUUCGGAAUUAUUGGGCGUAAAGGGCAUGUAGGCGGUUCGGUAAGUUAAAGGUGAAAUGCCA